CAGAGGAGGCCACAGAGCAGGAGGAGGCCAUAGGCUUCCUCAGCUGAGGCAGGAAGGGGAGGCCAGGCUCUCUCUGGACCCCCGUGGGUGAAGCUGUGUGAGACGCCUUGAGGGACCCCAGAGGAAGCCCUCCGCUUGCAAAUGCAGCUCAGCCAUUGGGUAUAAGGAACUCCAGGCUGGAACACUGCAUGAUUCAGACGACAUAGAGACAAGCCCUGAAGAAAGAAAGCACCUUGAGCAUCCUUGCUUCCUGCAAAACAUCCCUCCAGCGAGGUCACCAGGAGAACUGUCCAGCUGAGCUCUAACCAACCCACAACAGAGAAGUAGCAAAGUGUUCCUGGUUAGGACACCAAAUUUGGGAUGGUUUCCUAUGUAAAAAUUAGUAAUAGAGACACUUAGCUAAUGAUCAGCAAGCAACUGGAUGUACAAUGAACAGAGACAAGGGAGGAGCUGACGUAUCUCUUAACAUUGUACCAGAAUUUUAAAGAGAAAAUUCUAGAAAGAAUGAUUGCCUCUAAGUUGACACAACUAAACUUUAAAAUAUUAUCUUAAACAACUUUUAAUCUUUUAAAAAUUUAUCCCAAGACAGAUAUAUUGAUAUUUGGUGACUGGUCCUUUUUGGAUUCAAAGGUGUAUAAUCAUUUUGACUUGUCAACUAGGGUCUGACAAGAUCUACAGAAUUGGCAGUCAGUUUUCUUAUGUGCUCCACAGCUUGGUUUUAAGCAGCAACAUUUGUUAAGUAGAAGAAAAUACCCUGCCUUCUUUCACAUUCCAAUGAAUUGGUUUCUUACCCAUGGGUCUUUAAAUCCAGCCUUUAAGAUGAAAUAAAUGAUUGCACUGCAGAACUGAAGCCCGACAUGGACUUCAGCAAUAAUCACCCUGAAGACUGAAACUUACCAUGCUUCUGGCAUUUCAUAAAUUCUGACUCUAAGUUGUAGAGAAAAUAGAACAAAUUGUAAAUUGUUAACCUAUUUUAUUACAAACAUAAAAUAACACUUUCCCCAUUAUAGCACAGUAACUUUUAUUUUAUGAAUGUCCACAUCAAGGCAAUAAAGCUAUUUCCAUGCAUUUCAGCAGACUUUUCCAAGAGAUGUGUCAGGAUUAUGAAGGAAUCAGGUGGG
ensembl:lncRNA